UUACGGUCAAAUCACGCUGAAAACACCGGUUCUCGUUCGAUCACCGAAGUUAAGCAUCGUAGAGCCAGGUCAGUACUUAGAUGGGGGACCCUGGUACUUGGGAACACCUGGUAC